GAUACUGACUCCAGUCUAUACAGCCCUUACUUGUAAGAACCAGAGCUGUGUGGAGAUUCCUGCAUAAGGAUGAGGAUCGGCUGGAAAAGUGAGGAACCAAUGAUGUCCAGGCAUCGAACUUUACAGAGGAAGAUGGAGCUGGAAGAAGACAUGGCGUCUGGACCAGAUGAAGAAGAAAAGGAAAGACAACAGAGAAGAUGUCUCCUGUGAGUCAUUUUAUGUUUGUGUAUUCUCCUGACUGUCCCAUUAAAUCUCUCGUCACUUCUAAGUUUUGUAGUAAUAAUGGAUGACACUGUACCCCAAUUUGAGGCUUUAGCAGUUACAAAACUACAACUCCUAUAACCGCUGAA